AUUGAACGCUGGCGGCAGGCUUAACACAUGCAAGUCGAGCGGGGUGAUGGUGCUUGCACUAUCACUUAGCGGCGGACGGGUGAGUAAUGCUUAGGAAUCUGCCUAUUAGUGGGGGACAACAUCUCGAAAGGGAUGCUAAUACCGCAUACGUCCUACGGGAGAAAGCAGGGGAUCACUUGUGACCUUGCGCUAAUAGAUGAGCCUAAGUCGGAUUAGCUAGUUGGUGGGGUAAAGGCCUACCAAGGCGACGGUCUGUAGCGGGUCUGAGAGGAUGAUCCGCAACACUGGGACUGAGACACGGCCCAGACUCCGACGGGAGGCAGCAGUGGGGAAUAUUGGACAAUGGGGGGAACCCUGAUCCAGCCAUGCCGCGUGUGUGAAGAAGGCCUUAUGGUUGUAAAGCACUUUAAGCGAGGAGGAGGCUCUUUUGGUUAAUACCCAAGAUGAGUGGACGUUACUCGCAGAAUAAGCACCGGCUAACUCUGUGCCAGCCGCCGCCGUAA
rnacentral:rRNA from 1 species